rnacentral:rRNA from 1 species
AUGGAGACCACGGUGCUAAGCAUUGGCAAGUCCGUGUUGAAUGGAGCGCUUAGCUACGCCAAAUCUGCUGUGGCAGAGGAGGUGGCUUUGCAGCUCGGUGUCCAGGGUGAUCAGGCUUUUAUCACGGACGAGCUUGAGAUGAUGCAAGCUUUCCUGGAGGCCGCACAUGCGGAGCGAGAUGACCACAUGGUUGUCAAUACCUGGGUGAAGCAAGUCCACGAUGUUGAGGACUCCCUCCAGGAUUUCGCUGUUCGUAUUGAAAAUUAUUCCUGGUGGCGCCUUCGCACGCUGCUAGACCGGCGCCGUGUAGCCCAGGAGAUGAAGGAACUGAGAGUCAAAGUGGAGAAUGUGAGCCAAAGGAAUGUGCGCUACCGCCUCAUCAGGCGCUCUGGCUCCCGAGUCUACCUCCAAUGA